UCAAAAUAUUGGGACAUAUAAAAAAAGACAACUCUGUUCCGCAGAGUAGCUGUUGACAUUAUAGUUGCGCAGAAACUUUGUUGACUCUAGAGAACCUCGGGCAAAUCGCACUUCCCCGUGGCGGCGACUUUGCAUGCGGAUGUCAUCCAUAUCAACUUUCGAUGCCAGUUUCUGCGCCUAGCAUGGUGACCACGGGUAACGGGGAAUCAGGGUUCCAUUCCGCACAGGGACCCUGAGAAAUGGCUACCACAUGCAAAGAAGGCAGCAGGCGCGCAAAUGACCCACUCCCGACGCGGGAAGGUAGUGAUGA